GCUGAGGCAGGAGGAUUGCUUGAUCCUGGUCCUGGUGGCACGUGCCUACUCCGGAGGCUGAGGCAGGAGGGUUGCUCGAGCCUGGGAGUUCUGGGCUGUAGUGUGUUAGGCUGACUGGGUGUUCGCACUGAGUUCAGCAUCAAUAUGGUGACCUCCUAGGAGCAGGGGACCACCAAGUUGCCUAAGGAGGGGUGAACCGGUCCAGGUUGGAAACGGAGCAGGUCAAAACUCCUGUGGUGAUCAAAAAGGACAGUUGCAGACAUGGACCGGUCCAGGUUGGAAACGGAGCAGGUCAAAACUCCU
rfam:Nomascus leucogenys chromosome 21, whole genome shotgun sequence.